AUUGAACGCUGGCGGCAGGCCUAACACAUGCAAGUCGAGCGGAUGAAGGGAGCUUGCUCCUGGAUUCAGCGGCGGACGGGUGAGUAAUGCCUAGGAAUCUGCUGGUAGUGGGGGAUAACGUCCGGAAACGGGCGCUAAUACCGCAUACGUCCUGAGGGAGAAAGUGGGGGAUCUUCGGACCUCACGCUAUCAGAUGAGCCUAGGUCGGAUUAGCUAGUUGGUGGGGUAAAGGCCUACCAAGGCGACGAUCCGUAACUGGUCUGAGAGGAUGAUCAGUCACACUGGAACUGAGACACGGUCCAGACUCCUACGGGAGGCAGCAGUGGGGAAUAUUGGACAAUGGGCGAAAGCCUGAUCCAGCCAUGCCGCGUGUGUGAAGAAGGUCUUCGGAUUGUAAAGCACUUUAAGUUGGGAGGGAGGGCAGUAAGUUAAUACCUUGCUGUUUUGACGUUACCAACAGAAUAAGCACCGGCUAACUUCGUG
rnacentral:rRNA from 1 species